CCCUGCUACACCCUAAGGGCUCCUGCACACUGCCUGCAUGGCGUGAGCAUGGUGUUUCUGUUGCGUGUCAGUUGCGUGGCGGCUGUCUUUGCACUCCAGAAACGUGUCUGACGCGUCAUUGCUGCUGCUAGCCUUGUCUGUACACAUGUAUGUUUCCCAUUGAUAAAAUGAAAUAAUACCAUGUUCUUCAA